rnacentral:rRNA from 1 species
UACGUAGGUCCCGAGCGUUGUCCGGAUUUAUUGGGCGUAAAGCGAGCGCAGGUGGUUUAUUAAGUCUGGUGUAAAAGGCAGUGGCUCAACCAUCGUAUGCAUUGGAAACCGGUAGACUUGAGUGCAGGAGAGGAGAGUGGAAUUCCAUGUGUAGCGGUGAAAUGCGUAGAUAUAUGGAGGAACACCGGUGGCGAAAGCGGCUCUCUGGCCUGUAACUGACACUGAGGCUCGAAAGCGUGGGGAGCAAACAGG